rnacentral:lncRNA from 1 species
AAAGAAACCAUGGGCUAGGCGCGGUGGCUCACACCUGUAAUCCCAGCACUUUGGGAGGCCAAGGUGGGCGGAAUCACAAGGGUCAAAGCGUGCCUGGGGAAGCCAUGUCUGAAUCUGGAGCAAGCCGAGGCUCACCCAGAGGCUCCCACGCUGGGCUGGCUCAGGCAGGCUCCUCUUACUCUCCCCUUCACCAACAAAGUGGUGCAGGGAGGUGAGCAACUGGCAGAGCAGUUCCUUGGGCAGCACCUCCUGACCAGCCAUGUCCCCAAGUGUCUGGCCCACAUGCUGGAAGGCCUGGCUGCUCCCAAGCAGCAGCUGCUCACAGUUCUGCAUGUACUCCUGCCGCCGGGACUCUGGGAGCAGCUCUGCUAGGCCUGCCAGGUGCCGGAACAGCACCUGCCCCUGGAGUUGGGAAUCCGUGCGUCUGUGGGGACAAAAAGAAAGCACUGAAAGGGUCUCACUGUGUAACCCAGACUGGAGUGCAAUGGCACGAUCUUGGCUCACUGCAACCUCUGCCUCCCAGGCCCAAGCGAUUCUCCUGACUCAGCCUCCCAAGUAGCUGGGAUUCAGGCGCACACCACUACUGCCCAGCUAAUUUUUGUAUUUUUGGUAGAGACAGGGUUUCACCAUGUUGGCCAGGCUGGUCUUGAACUCCUGACCUCAAAUGAUCCACCCACCUCAGCCUCCCAAAGUGCUAGGAUUACAGGCGUGAGCUACAGCGCCUGACCAACACAAUUUUUUUUAAAAAAAAGCACAACUAUGACUCGAAAAUUCAGAGAAGAACUAAAGGGGAUCAGUAAACGUGAAAAUAUGUUCAAUCUUCACACUUAUCAAAGAAGUGCAAAUGAGUUCUUUUUAACUAUAUGACAGAAACAAUUGAAAAUGUUUAUAACAGCUAGUGUAGCAAGCAGAUGAACAGGUCCUCAUCUCCAUGUUAAAGGAAACUAAACCUCACUGUGGUCAUCUAAGACUUCAGGACUUCCCUCUUCACUGGCUCUUCACAUCUUUAAAAAAGUGAAAAGCAAAAACCACAUUUCCAGUCUGGCAAUAACCAUAAUUUUGUUUUUAAUGUGUAGACACUCUGACCAAGGAUUCAAUUCUAAUUCUAACAACUUAUGCAUAGAAAUGCUCCAACAAGUGGACAAAGAUGUAUACUAGGAUAGUCAAUGUGGCAUGCUUAUUAUAGGAAGAGGGAGAAAAUGCAAGAAACUUCAACACUUUAUCGAUUCAGUUCUUAAUAUGUAAAAACUGACAGAUAUAACAUCGUUGGAGUUUUUGAGAACCUUUAAGAGUAUAGAGGCAGAGAUCAAAAAGUUUAAGACUGGCUGCUCUACUUUACUAGACUUACUAGAAUAAUCUGGAUUAAAAAUUCCAUUUAAUCCACAUGUGACAAUAAUGUCUAAGAGGACUUAAGUGGAUUAAAAUAUAACUGUUACAAUCUAACAACAGGUGAGCGAAUAAAAAAACUGUAGUAGAUCCACACAAUGGAAUACUACUCAGCAAUAAAGAGGAAUGAACUACUGAUACAUGAAACCACAUGGAUGCAUCUCCAAAUCACAAUGCUGAGUGAAAGAAUAUAAACAAAAAAGUAUAUAUACUGCAUAAUUCCACGUAUAGAAAAUACAACUGAUCCACAGUAAGAGAGCAGAUCAAUGGCUACCUCGUUGUGGGUGGGAGCAGGAAAGAAGAAAAUAC